CUUGACUUCCAUAAGAGGUCCAGCCUGCCCAGUGAUACUAUUAAACGGCCGCGGUACCCUGACCGUGCGAAGGUAGCAUAAUAACUUGUUCUUUAAAUGGGGACUAGCAUGAACGGCAUCACGAAGGUCUCACUGUCUCCUUUUUCUAAUCAGUGAAACUGAUCUCCCCGUGAAGAAGCGGGGAUAAAAAUAUAAGACGAGAAGACCCCAUGGAGCUUUAAACCCAAUAGACACCUCUGACUAAUCUAACCCAAAACACUUCUUAAGUUCUGUCUAUUGGUUUUAGGUUGGGGUGACCACGGAGUACAAUAAAUCCUCCAUGACGUACGGGACUUCCCUCUUAUCCUUGAACCACAUUUCUAAGAAUCAACAAAUUGACGUUUGAUGAUCCAAUAUAUUGAUCAACGGACCA
rnacentral:rRNA from 1 species